ACUUCAUGUCCUGAAUUAUGUGAAGUGAUUAGUAUCAUUAAUGGUGUUUCGGAAGAAGCUUAGGUAGAGAAUGGAAUUGAUUGUUUGUUUAAAGCCAAACUUUUUCGAAGCGGACCCAAGGAUUGCAAACGUAUAAAAACCAGUUCAAGUUUGAUUCAAACAGAUGAGAAUUUAUAUUUACUUUAAAAUCUUAAAUUUCUAUUACUUUAAAUGAAUAAACUGCAUCGUAAUUUUAAAUAGUAGAUCCCAAAAAGGAGGCAAACUUGAAGGUGAGACAACUGAAAAAGGAGGCAAACUUGAAGAAAGAAUAUAUACUCAGUGGUCAACAGAACAAGAAAAACGAUUGGAAGAAACGUUUGGAAAAUUUACUAGAGAUAAAAACCUUGGAUGGCCCAGUAAUUAAAAUAGAAUCAUUGUCUUUUAAAAGUAUAUAAAAUGUAUAUUAGUCGCACAGUGGGACAGGUUGCGGAAAAAAGUAAAAAAAUUACAUUCUCAAAAAUUACAUUAUUAUUAACCAUUUUAUUGCUUAAACAUUUAGCUUUUAUAAAAUGUAUAUCUUUUUGUAUAAUUUUCAUGUCAUAUGCU